rnacentral:rRNA from 1 species
UACGGAGGGUGCAAGCGUUAUCCGGAUUCACUGGGUUUAAAGGGUGCGUAGGCGGGUUGGUAAGUCCGUGGUGAAAUCCCCAAGCUUAACUUGGGAACUGCCGUGGAUACUAUCAAUCUUGAAUAUCGUGGAGGUAAGCGGAAUAUGUCAUGUAGCGGUGAAAUGCUUAGAUAUGACAUAGAACACCAAUUGCGUAGGCAGCUUACUACGGGGAUAUUGACACUGAGGCACGAAAGCGUGGGGAUCAAACAGG